CCAAUCGAACCCGGAGAUAGCUGGUUCUCCUCGAAAUAGCUUUAGGGCUAGCCUCAUAUUAGUUUAGCGGAGGUAGAGCACUGAAUUCCUAAGGGGGCGUCAAAGCUUACCAAGGGAUAUCAAACUCCGAAUGCCGUGUAGAUGAUGUAUGGGAGUCAGACUAUCCGAGAUAAGUUGGGUAGUCGAAAGGGAAAGAGCCCAGACCUGCAGCUAAGGCCCCAAAAUGUGUGUUAAGUGGAAAAGGAUGUGGGAUUUCGAAGACAACUAGGAUGUUGGCUUAGAAGCAGCCAUCCAUUAAAAGAGUGCGUAAUAGCUCACUAGUCGAGAGGUCCUGCGCCGAAAAUGUCCGGGGCUGAAACACACUACCGAAGCUUGGGAAUUGACGAAUGUUAAUUGGUAGAGGAGCAUUCUUAACGGGGCGAAGCUGUACCGGAAGGAGCAGUGGACUGUUAAGAAGAGAGAAUGCCGGAAUGAGUAGCGAGAGGAAGGUGAGAAUCCUUCCGGCCGAAUAUCUAAGGUUUCCAGAGUAAAGCUGAUCUGCUCUGGGUAAGUCGGGGCCUAAGGCGAGGUCGAAAGACGUAGUCGAUGGAUAACAGGUAAAGAUUCCUGUACUGUAUCAUAACAGAACUGUGGGGACGCAGACAGAGAGCAUAAGCCGGGAAUGGAAAGACCGGUACAAGCGAGGUAGGAGUGCAUCAGGCAAAUCCGGUGCACAAUCUGAAGACGUGAUGUGGGGCGUAAAGCCGGAAGUAUGUGAGCUGGCUGCCAAGAAAAGCCGCUAUUGUUUAUGAUAUACCCGUACCGUAAACCGACACAGGUGGAUGAGGAGAGAAUCCUAAGGCCGACGGGAGAAGCAUUGUUAAGGAACUCGGCAAAAUGACUCCGUAACUUCGGGAGAAGGAGUGCCAUGCGAAUGGCCGCAGAGAAUUGGCCCAAGCAACUGUUUAGCAAAAACACAGGUCUAUGCGAAACCGAAAGGUGAGGUAUAUGGGCUGACGCCUGCCCGGUGCUGGAAGGUUAAGAGGAGAGGUUAGCGCAAGCGAAGCUUUGAAUUUAAGCCCCAGUAAACGGCGGCCGUAACUAUAACGGUCCUAAGGUAGCGAAAUUCCUUGUCGGGUAAGUUCCGACCCGCACGAAAGGCGUAAUGAUUUGGGCACUGUCUCAACAAUGCACCCGGUGAAAUUGAAAUACCAGUGAAGAUGCUGGUUACCUGCGCCAGGACGGAAAGACCCCAUGGAGCUUUACUCCAGCUUGAUACUGGGAUUCGAUAUUGCAUGUACAGGAUAGGUGGGAGACUUUGAACUGAUGACGCCAGUUGUCAGGGAGUCACUGUUGGGAUACCACCCUUGUAGUAUUGGAUUUCUAACCAGCAGCCGUGAACCGGCUGGGGGACAAUGUCAGGUGGGGAGUUUGACUGGGGCGGUCGCCUCCGAAAGGGUAUCGGAGGCGCUCAAAGGUUCCCUCAGAAUGGUUGGAAACCAUUCGAAGAGUGCAAAGGCAGAAGGGAGCUUGACUGCGACACCGACGGGUGGAGCAGGUACGAAAGUAGGACUUAGUGAUCCGGUGGUAUAAAGUGGGAUUGCCAUCGCUCAACGGAUAAAAGCUACCCUGGGGAUAACAGGCUUAUCACUCCCAAGAGUUCACAUCGACGGAGUGGUUUGGCACCUCGAUGUCGGCUCAUCGCAUCCUGGGGCUGAAGUAGGUCCCAAGGGUUGGGCUGUUCGCCCAUUAAAGCGGUACGCGAGCUGGGUUCAGAACGUCGUGAGACAGUUCGGUCCCUAUCCGGCGUGGGCGUAGGAUAUUUGAGAGGAGCUGCCCUUAGUACGAGAGGACCGGGGUGGACUGGCCGCUGGUGGAUCUGUUGUAUUACCAAAUGCAUAGCAGAGUAGCCAAGCCGGGACGGGAUAAACGCUGAAGGCAUCUAAGCGUGAAGCCCCCCUCAAGAUGAGAUAUCCCAUAACGUCAAGUUAGUAAGACCCCUUGAAGACGACGAGGUAGAUAGGGCAGAGGUGGAAGUGUGGUAACACAUGGAGCUGACUGUUACUAAUAGGUCGAGGGCAUAACCAA
rnacentral:rRNA from 1 species